GCGUCGGCGUCUCCGCCAAUGGCAAGGCCCACGCGGGAAGGCGACGCGCGUUAUUUGGGGGGCGGCUAGACAAGGAGUGGCGGCGUUCGCUCCCGUUCACUUAUAUCGCCUUUAGUUUAGGGGUGCGGGGAGUGCUUUAACAGCGAAUGAAAGGCCUCCAAGGGUGUGUCCAUGCUGUAGAACAGGCAUGGGCAAACUUGGGCCCUCCAAGUGUUUGGGACUCCAAGAUAAUCUGGAUUCAGAAACUGGAUUUUAUGACAGUGUAGAUCCAGCUAGUCUUUCCAUGCUCUUCGCCGUUUCCUGCUGUUUUUGGCUUCACCAAGCAUCAUUGUCUUUUUUCGUGAGCCAUAUCUUUAGGCAAAGAGAGGUGGCAACCCCUUGGAAGCAGAUCCUAAAAGACAGCUGGAGAAAGGAGAAGAGAUCAUCCAGAAUUCAGCACCACUAUAUCAAAGCAGACCUGGUCUCAUCUGAUCUGGGAAGUUAAACAGGAUCAGUAUUUAGAUGGGAGACCACCAGGGAAGGUUAGACUAUUAUUAUUACCUGUAUUAUUAUUACAGUAGAGUCUCACUUAUCCAACACUCGCUUAUCCAAUGUUCUGGAUUAUCCAACGCAUUUUUGUAUUCAAUGUUUUCAAUACAUCAUGAUAUUUUGGUGCUAAAUUCGUAAAUACAGUAAUUACUACAUAGCAUUACUGCGUAUUGAACUACUUUUUCUGUCAAAUUUGUUGUAUAACAUGAUGUUUUGGUGCUUAAUUUGUAAAUCAUAACCUAAUUUGAUGUUUAAUAGGCUUUUCCUUAAUCCCUCCUUAUUAUCCAACAUAUUCACUUAUCCAACAUUCUGCCGGCCCGUUUAUGUUGGAUAAGUGAGACUCUACUGUAUUAUUAUUAUUAUUAUUAUUGCAACAAAAACAUAGUAUGACACAGCAAACGAGAUAUAUAUGCUGGAUUUCGUAUCACAAAAUCACAAGUUGAACACUUCCUAAGUGUUUAGGACUGUGUGAUGUAUUUUCGGAUGUAUUAUCAAAUGGUAUUAAAACAUCUUGCUUAAAAGGCUGCAAAUUCAUUUCUCUCAGAUAAGACUAGGCUAGAUGGGCCAAAGGUUUGACAUGACUUUCCCAUGUUUAGACUUGUUUCUGCCCAUCUGUCCAAGUCCCCAGGAUCUGUUCUAGCUUGUAUACUUUUUGCAGACUUAUCCUCUUAAAUCGCUAUUUACACAGAUGGCGCUCCAUACGCAAACAUCGUUUUAUCACUUCUUUUCAUUGCUUUUAUAAUGCAGCAAUACAUAGUCAGCCUAUAAAUAAAAGCAAUUUAAAAAUACUCUCUAUGAAACAUAUGCAUCAGGGAUGCUUCCAGAGGGAAAACUCCUAGUGCUUCCCAUAAAAAUCAUAUGCAGCAUUUGUGUCGUUUCCCUCUUUUUUGUCAGAAGAAAAUGCAAAAGAAAUUGGAAAAUGUAUGAAAAAGAUUUUUUUUGUGUUUGUUAGGAGCGACUUGAAAAACUGGAAAUCGCUUCUAGUGUGGGAGAAUUGGCCGUCUGCAAGGAUGUUGCCCAGGGGAUGCCUGGAUGUUUGUUGUUUUUACCAUCCUUGUGGAAGGCUUCUCAUGUGUCCUCGCAUGGUGAGCUGGAGCUGACAGAAGGAGCUCAUCCAUGCUCUCCCUGGAUUUGAACUGGCAACCUUCAGGUCAGCAACCCAACCUUCAGGUCAGCAGUCCUGCCGGCACAAGGGUUUAACCCAUCGCACCACCUUAUGAAAAGGAUGCAAGUAAAUGAUGAUUAUCCUGGGACCACCAAAUACAAUCCAAUAAAUUGUUUCAUUGGAAGAUCUCUGGGUUUUUGUUUUUGUUUUAUAAAUCAAAAUCAAACCAUACAUUUUCAAAAAUAAUAUAUCCAAGAAAUGGCUCGUUUAAAGCCUAUAGGCAGAGCUUGAAAAGAAAAAACCUUUCUUUGUUUGGACCACAACUUCUAUUGUCCAUGCUGUUUGGGGGAUACUGCGAAUGGUAAUACCAACUGUGACUUUUCUAAGCUACGGUCCACAAUGAGCCAGGUUAAAGCAAAUGAAAAUUCAUGUUUUCUUCCUUCACGCUCUGGUCACCUGAAUUUUACAAGAUGGGUCACAACAUUAACUUCCCCCAGUUUCAUAUUCACAUGUGUUCUUCUUUCUAAUAUUUCCAAUGUGAAAUAAAGUUGUUUAGAACAAAAUCAGCAAAGCAGGGACUUCUGAGACAAUAUUCACAACUCUGUAUGCACCCCAACUAUGAUACACAGAAACAACACCCUGUAAAUAAUGUUUACAUGCAACAAUCUAAUAAUACAUACAAUAACCCAAUAAUGUUUUUAAAAAGAGCUGUGUGUCACAGUUGGGGAAUAUGUCGCCCUCCCAAUGUUGUUGGACUACAACUCCUAUUGAUGUCAAGCAUUGCCCCCCCUCCCUCCCCCCCGGGUCAAAUUAUUAACCAAUUCAUAACUGUGAAACCAUGACAGAAGACCCGUGGAGAACGGGAGUCUGGAGCUCCGCAGGAAUCAAUACUGCGGACGAUCAGAGAUACGGAGGAGCCCAGCAGCAAAUACCCACAUUUUGGAUACAUUCUAAUUUUCCUCUUUGUUACGAUAUAACCCUUUAAUAAAUGUUCACUGUGGUGCAUUAUACUCUAA